CCUACGGGUGGCAGCAGUGAGGAAUAUUGGUCAAUGGACGAGAGUCUGAACCAGCCAAGUAGCGUGAAGGAUGACUGCCCUAUGGGUUGUAAACUUCUUUUAUAUGGGAAUAAAAUGUUCCACGUGUGGGAUUUUGUAUGUACCAUUUGAAUAAGGAUCGGCUAACUCCGUGCCAGCAGCCACGGUAAUACGGAGGAUCCGAGCGUUAUCCGGAUUUAUUGGGUUUAAAGGGAGCGUAGGUGGAUUGUUAAGUCAGUUGUGAAAGUUUGCGGCUCAACCGUAAAAUUGCAGUUGAAACUGGCAGUCUUGAGUACAGUAGAGGUGGGCGGAAUUCGUGGUGUAGCGGUGAAAUGCUUAGAUAUCACGAAGAACUCCGAUUGCGAAGGCAGUUCACUGGACUGCAACUGACACUGAGGCUCGAAAGUGUGGGUAUCAAACAGGAUUAGAUACCCGAGUAGUC
rnacentral:rRNA from 1 species